AGCGAACGCUGGCGGCAGGCUUAACACAUGCAAGUCGAGCGGGCGUAGCAAUACGUCAGCGGCAGACGGGUGAGUAACGCGUGGGAACAUACCUUUUGGUUCGGAACAACACAGGGAAACCUGUGCUAAUACCGGAUAAGCCCUUACGGGGAAAGAUUAUCGCCGAAAGAUUGGCCCGCGUCUGAUUAGCUAGUUGGUGAGGUAACGGCUCACCAAGGCGACGAUCAGUAGCUGGCUGAGAGGAUGAUCAGCCACAUUGGGACUGAGACACGGCCCAAACUCCUACGGGAGGCAGCAGUGGGGAAUAUUGGACAAUGGGCGAAAGCCUGAUCCAGCCAUGCCGCGUGAGUGAUGAAGGCCCUAGGGUUGUAAAGCUCUUUUGUGCGGGAAGAUAAUGACGGUACCGCAAGAAUAA
rnacentral:rRNA from 1 species